rnacentral:misc_RNA from 1 species
CCGCGUGCACAUGCGACUGC